UAAAGGCAGGCAGCCAGGUGGCAGAGAGGUCAGGGAGAAGACGACUGCAGUUGUGCAGAUGCCACAGAUGAGCCUCCCAUUUCCCACGUUGGCCUGGCAGAGGGUCAGAGCUCCUGCUACGUGGCAGAAGUUAUAAGCAGAAAGUGGGAAGACAAAUCACUCCUGAGAUCCAAAAGCUUGAAAUGCCUGACAAUGUCAAACUGUAGCCAGGAAACCUUUGUUUACUUCAUGUUCUCUGGACCAAAGCAGAAAAAUCACAGCUCCUCCAAUACUGCCUCAUAAAACAAGUUGAAGAGAAGGAGAAAGAUGAAGAUGAAGCAGAUGAAGGAGGAGGAGAUGAUGAUGGGAAAAAGGGAGAAAAUUUUUCGAAUUUUCAUAUAGAAAAGAAAAUCCAACUCCUCAAAGGAAAAAUUUAUCACAUAAGAUUUUCAGUGAAAAGUAAGGAGCUGAAGAAAAUAAUGUGGUUGUCAACAAAUACAUUCAUUCAUUCAACACUACUGAGUGUCCUGCCUGUCUGCCAUCAGCUCAGCGUGGACGUUCUCAAGACACAAUGGUGAACGAGUGCUCCUGGACUCACAGAGCUUAGAACUGGGAAACACACACAGUGGAGGCUAAGUCUUUCCUCAAGAGUCAUAAUGUUAUUUUCAAAUAACAGUACCCAAAAUAAAAAAUUCUAUUCUCCAUAUAAUCAGAGAGUAAUGAUAAAUGGACUUCAGUCAAAUCUCUCGGUAAGUUACCAAACUAACGUAGCCCAAGGACACAGCAUUCUGAAGGAGCUAAUUUGACCCAAAGAUGAAACACUGGGCCAUGGAUAGAAAGCCCUUCACCCUAUUUCUACCGGAUAGUGUAUCUCACAGCCUGCCUUAAUGGAAGUCCUAGUCCUAAGACCCAUAAACCAGGUUUUCUGUGUUGUUGCUGGAAAAAAUAGCCAUUUGUUUCCAAUGUCAAAUUAGUAGCUAAGAGAGCUGUGAUCAUGCUAAAAAGUUGAGAAUUUAAACCAGUUUCACUCCAAAAUUCACGUUAACUAAGAUUUCUCUUUUCUACUUUGCUGCUUUACUCCUCUCCAGCGCCCCCACCUACCCACCUAGACACAGCAACAGGAUAAAAAUUACUUUAUAGUUCCACAUGAGAAAUGGACUUGUGAUUGGAUUGAGACAUUACGGCCAUUACCUGCUUCAUUUCAGGCGGACUCCUUCCUCCCAUCCUUCCCGGUUUACUCAUAAUUAUAAUCACUCAUUCACUGAAUAGUACCUUACACUAGGCAUUACACUAGUGUUAGAGGUGCCUUCAGGAAGUUUACAAUCCAAUGCGGGAACUGGCAAGCAUACAAUUAAAAUACAAUAAGCAAAUUUCUCUAAUAGAAACAGACCCAAGCCUUGGAGCCCAGUGAGGGAAUGGAGCAAUGAUUGUUAUAUAAUGUAUCACUCAACAACAGUAUGAUCACAAUAAAAACUAGAAAGCAGGACAAACUUUAUAAGAUAUUAUAUUUUAA